rnacentral:tRNA from 1 species
GCGGGUGUGAUGUAGCCUGGUAUCAUUCUAGCUUGCCAAGCUAGUUACUCGGGUUCAAAUCCCGGCACCCGCACCA